rnacentral:rRNA from 1 species
GAUGAACGCUGGCGGCGUGCCUAAUACAUGCAAGUCGAGCGAACGGACGAGAAGCUUGCUUCUCUGAUGUUAGCGGCGGACGGGUGAGUAACAUGUGGAUAACCUACCUAUAAGACUGGGAUAACUUCGGGAAACCGGAGCUAAUACCGGAUAAUAUUUUGAACCGCAUGGUUCAAAGGUGAAAGACGGUCUUGCUGUCACUUAUAGAUGUAUCCGCGCUGCAUUAGCUAGUUGGUAAGGUAACGGCUUACCAAGGCAACGAUGCAUAGCCGACCUGAGAGGAUGAUCGGCCACACUGGAACUGAGACACGGUCCAGACUCCUACGGGAGGCAGCAGUAGGGAAUCUUCCGCAAUGGGCGAAAGCCUGACGGAGCAACGCCGCGUGAGUGAUGAAGGUCUUCGGAUCGUAAAACUCUGUUAUUAGGGAAGAACAUAUGUGUAAGUAACUGUGCACAUCUUGACGGUACCUAAUCAGAAAGCCACGGCUAACUACGUG